AAUAUUAGUUAAUAGAUUUUUUUAAAAAUAAAAGGUUUUUUGUGUAGGUAUUGUGAGAGAAUUAUUUUUUUUUUCGAUAGAGUAGUAGUACUGUAAAGGAAAUUAAUAUAAUAUUUAAAAAGCAUUGGUAUUACCUUUUGCAUAAGGGUUUAUUGAAAAUAAAGAAGAAUUUUUUUUUCCCGAAACUUAAUGAGCUAUAUUUUUAAAAUGUUAUAUGUUUUAUAAUAUAAUUAUAUGAAGAUAUAGAAAUGAAAUUUUAUUCAAAUUAAGUGAUAUCUGGUUAAAAUAACAUAAUUAUAUAUUAACAUUAAAGUAUUAAUUUUGAAUUGCUUUAAAUGGAAAAAUUUAUGGGAUAAGCUAUAAAUUUGUUUAUAGAAAUGAAAGAUGAUAUGAUUAAGGUUUAAAAUUUACUAAGCUUUGUUAUAAAGGUUUAUUUGUUUGAUGGAAGGAUUUUAAGAAUUUGGUUAUUUAAAAGAAUUUUUUUUUAAAGAAAUGAUAAUAGAAUUAGUAUAAAAGGAUUAUGAAGAUUGGUUUUUGAAUUAUUUUUUAAAAGUAAUUUUUUCUUAAGGAACUCGGCAAGCUAAUUUUUGACUGUUUAUCAAAAACAUUGUAUUUUGAAAUAAUAAAAUAUAUGGUCUGCUCAAUGCUUUUUAGUAAAUUGCUGUGGUAUUUUGACUAUACGAAGGUAUUGAAAUAAGAUUUUAAAUGGAUGCUAAGAGAAUGGCUGAACAAAGAUUAACUUUCUUAAGAAAAAUUAUUAGAAGUUGGUUUUUAUGUGAAAAAACAUUAAUGUUUUUUUGGGACAAGAAGACCCUAUGAAUUUUUAUUUUACUUAGAAUUUAAAGAUAAAAUUUAAUUGGGGUGAUUUUUAAAGAUUAUUAAUCUUUAAAAAUUUUUAAUUUGAUCCGCUAAUAGCGAUUGUAUAAAAAAAAUACUCUAGGGAUAACAGCGUAAUAAUUUUGGAUAGUUCUUAUUGAUAAAAUUGAUUGCGACCUCGAUGUUGGAUUAAGAUUCUUUUUUAAUGAAGAAGUUAAAAUAAGAAGUUUGCUCAACUUUUAAUAUCUUACAUGAUCUGAGUUCAGACCGGCGUGAGCCAGGUUGGUUUCUAUCUAAAAAAUUUUUUAUUAUUAUAUUAGUACGAAAGGAAUAUGUAAUGGAGUUUUACUUAUUCAUUUUUUUUUUUUAAUUUUA
rnacentral:rRNA from 1 species